UCUGAGGUGCUGAUGUCCCUGCUUGAAGU
rnacentral:piRNA from 1 species